rnacentral:lncRNA from 1 species
CAUGGUGCCAGACAUAUGGACCGCUUAUGAAGCUAUGCCAUGGUAUACCUGAGGAAGUGUCUCCCUGCUCCUGGCAGAGCUCUGUGCCUCCUUCUACAAGACUAUCAUCCAACAGCCAAGGAAACUUCAUUUCCCUACCCCUCAUAGACUCCGCCCACGGGCUCCCAAAUGGCGGAAGAAAUGCACGAUACGGCCGGACAUCUCACACUACUGCGGAGGUAUCCCGAUGCUACGCCGGCGGCGUAGGCGGGGCGACCGGUUCUUCCUUCCUCUCUGCGUCUUCGGCUCCUCCCCUAGCGCUUCACACGCUCAUUGUGAGGCGACCGCGGCCGUCAGCCUCUAGAGCUAUUUGAGAUUUAGGGACCGUAAAUUCUCGGCGCGCGUGAACGCCCGCGCUGCUCCUUCCCCACUGCAAAGACUAGGGGCGCGAGAUUCACCUUUCUUUUUUUCUCCCCUCCCGCCCGGUGCUAACCGCCCCGGUGCGCGCGGACAUCUCCCGCCGCCGCUCCCUCCUCCCCGCCCCUCCCCCUUCGGAGCUCCCGCCCGCGCGUUCCUCCCCCUCCCC